rnacentral:rRNA from 1 species
AUUGAACGCUGGCGGCAUGCCUUACACAUGCAAGUCGAACGGGCAGCACGGGAGCAAUCCUGGUGGCGAGUGGCGAACGGGUGAGUAAUAUAUCGGAACGUGCCCAGUCGUGGGGGAUAACGCAGCGAAAGCUGUGCUAAUACCGCAUACGAUCUAUGGAUGAAAGCGGGGGACUCGCAAGGGCCUCGCGCGAUUGGAGCGGCCGAUAUCAGAUUAGCUAGUUGUGGGGUAAAAGCCCGCCAAGGCGACGAUCUGUAGCUGGUCUGAGAGGACGACCAGCCACACUGGAACUGAGACACGGUCCAGACUCCUACGGGAGGCAGCAGUGGGGAAUUUUGGACAAUGGGCGAAAGCCUGAUCCAGCAAUGCGCGUGCAGACGAAGGCCUCGGUUGUAAC